rnacentral:rRNA from 1 species
CCUACGGGUGGCAGCAGUGGGGAAUAUUGGACAAUGGGGGCAACCCUGAUCCAGCCAUGCCGCGUGUGUGAAGAAGGCCCUCGGGUUGUAAAGCACUUUCAGUGAGGAAGAACGCCUGGUGGUUAAGACCCAUCAGGAAAGACAUCACUCACAGAAGAAGCACCGGCUAACUCCGUGCCAGCAGCCGCGGUAAUACGGAGGGUGCGAGCGUUAAUCGGAAUUACUGGGCGUAAAGCGCGCGUAGGUGGCUUGAUAAGCCGGUUGUGAAAGCCCCGGGCUCAACCUGGGAACGGCAUCCGGAACUGUCAAGCUAGAGUGCAGGAGAGGAAGGUAGAAUUCCCGGUGUAGCGGUGAAAUGCGUAGAGAUCGGGAGGAAUACCAGUGGCGAAGGCGGCCUUCUGGACUGACACUGACACUGAGGUGCGAAAGCGUGGGUAGCAAACAGGAUUAGAUACCCUAGUAGUC